rnacentral:hammerhead_ribozyme from 1 species
AUCCAACUGACGAGUCCCAAAUAGGACGAAACGCGCGUCCUGGAC